CUAGGUUGCUGCAGUGGGGAAUAUUGGACAAUGGGCGAAAGCCUGAUCCAGCAAUGCCGCGUGAGUGAUGAAGGCCUUAGGGUUGUAAAGCUCUUUUACCCGGGAUGAUAAUGACAGUACCGGGAGAAUAAGCUCCGGCUAACUCCGUGCCAGCAGCCGCGGUAAUACGGAGGGAGCUAGCGUUGUUCGGAAUUACUGGGGGUAAAGCGCGCGUAGGCGGUCAUUCAAGUCAGAGGUGAAAGCCCGGGGCUCAACCCCGGAACUGCCUUUGAAACUAGAUGACUAGAAUCUUGGAGAGGUCAGUGGAAUUCCGGGUGUAGAGGUGAAAUUCGUAGAUAUUCGGAAGAACACCAGUGGCGAAGGCGACUGACUGGACAAGUAUUGACGCUGAGGUGCGAAAGCGUGGGGAGCAAACAGGAUUAGAUACCCAGUAGUC
rnacentral:rRNA from 1 species